CGGGGAAUAUUGGUCAAUGGGGGAAACCCUGAACCAGCAACGCCGCGUGAAGGAAGAAGGUCUUCGGAUUGUAAACUUCUUUGACCAGGGACGAAAAAAAUGACGGUACCUGGAAAACAAGCCACGGCUAACUACGUGCCAGCAGCCGCGGUAAUACGUAGGUGGCAAGCGUUGUCCGGAUUUACUGGGUGUAAAGGGCGUGUAGGCGGGACUACAAGUCAGAUGUGAAAUACCGUGGCUUAACCACGGGGCUGCAUUUGAAACUGUAGUUCUUGAGUGAUGGAGAGGUAAGUGGAAUUCCUAGUGUAGCGGUGGAAUGCGUAGAUAUUAGGAGGAACACCAGUGGCGAAGGCGGCUUACUGGACAUUAACUGACGCUGAGGCGCGAAAGUGUGGGGAGCAAACA
rnacentral:rRNA from 1 species